UUUAAUCGUUAUUGGCCAGAGGCAGAGUUGGAGGGUGAACGUUUGGCCUGGUCACUAUUGAUGAUCGUAGAGUUUGAACAUAUUCUCUUCACAUCGUAUCUGCAUAUAUCGAAAUUGGUAACAGCGUUUACACCUCUGAAUUUUAUUGCCGCGAUAUCGUACGCCUCCGCUGCUUCUUCUUGUGUGCCUUCAUUAUUGUAUCAAAAUUUGGUAUAGAGAUAUAUUCAUAUAUUUAUAUAUUAAAAUAGUAUAUACUCACUGAAAGUUCCCAAGUAGAGAUCUUUGUUUCCGGCAACUCGGCCGAUCCUAGCUUGCCAUCUUCCAUGUUGAUGAUGCCUGCAAGCGAUUAUACAUGCAUGAUCACGAUCCUAAUCUAUUAACAUGCCUAAAUGUGCGCAAUUUCUCAAACGUAUAUAUGUCCAGACCAAACCUUGUGACUCCUCUGUAAAUCGAAGCUCCCCUUGAAAAUCCACUGCUAUUCCUAUAUGUGAGAAAGUCGACACAAAAUGUUGGUCAAGGUGUUUGUAGGCUAAAAAUAAAUUAUCAGUUCAAAAAAAAAAGUUGUUCAAGGUGAUGAUUGGCAAGUGCUUUAGAACUGAUUUACAAUAUUUCUAUAGCUAACUUUUUUUUUCAAAAACGCAAAUCUGUCAUGUUUUAGAUUUUUUUUUAAAGCUAUAAAUUUUUCUUUUAUUUUUUUCAUUUUUGGUUUUAGAAAAUAAAAUACCUAAAAUACUUAUAUCUUGGUUUCAGAAAAUUUACAACUAGAUAAUUAAAUAUUUUCAAACCUACGACCAAAAUCUUACGGCAAAAAUAUUUACACCUACAAAAAAUCUAUAGCAUAUUUUCACAGUAAAAUAUAUAUAGUACUAAUAUUUAGUUCCAUAUAUAUCAAAUAUAAAUACAAAGGGAAAUCUCUUAAAUAAUACAACAAAACUGUGAUAAAAAUAGCACAUUUUUAAAAAAUAACAUUAACUAAAGGAUAAAACGAUUAAAUUACUCCAAAACUUAAACUCUAACCCUAUUCUAUCUCAUAAUAAGAAACCCUAAACCCCAAAAAAUUCAAAUAUAAAAUAAAAUAUGAAAAAACUUUUAAUUAGUUUUAUUUUGAUUUUUUUUUUCUCAUAUACUAUAUAUUUUACAUAGAAAAUGUGAAUAAAAAUUUGUUUUACUGCUAUCCUAAAGUAUUUUUCUAAAUACAAUUUAGCAUCGAGAGGAGAGUGAUUCUGAGUUUAUUUACCUCCUCAACAUGGCAACAAAUUCUUGCCUCGUCAUGUUGUUGAGUUCCUCCAUCUCCUUUUCGUAAUUACUCAACUGAAUUGAAGAAUGUAAGAAAAACUGACAUCACUAUUCACCAGCAAACUCUAUAUCUUUCAAUCAAAAGAGUCAAUAAGUUCGUUAAGAAACGCAUUCAGGAUCUAAAUAUCGAUAUAAAUAUGUUGUAUUUGGUGUAUGUAAUAAUAGUAGCUAAUAGUGGAGGUAUGGUCCACUCCAUAAAAGAAACUUACAGGGAAAUUUAAGUGAGUAGUAGGACCCCAAUACUUCAUGGCCGCUAAAUCAUAAGCCCUCGCAGCUUUCUCCUCAUCAUCAUACCCUCCUGUUAUAGUAUUACUUAAGAGCAUUAUAUUUAUCAUUUAGUAAAGUUGACAACGUUUUCAAUAUCACCAAAUGAAAGAAAACUUAAAAGGUUGUUGCAGAAUAGGUUGUUGAAAUAAAGUUUUUUCGCUUACCAAGAUACACUGUCAUUGAUCAAGAGGCGAAUUUGAAAGUAUAUAGAAAAACCAAAAAAACAUUAUUAGUACAAUUCACGAAUAAUAAGAUUAUACAAUUAAAUGGAAAUUUAAUCAUUUUAAAAUUUGUUUUCUAACCUUGUCUUCCCCUUCGCGACUGUCCUUCUUUCUUACAGCUAUUGUCCCAUAAGUGAGCUUCAUAUCUCCCUGUCCACCUAUGUCUGUAUACGUGCAUAUAUAUAUAUAUCACGUGACGUCGACACAACAAUAUUUACAACUAAAACAACGCAGAAAUAUAUAUAUGUGUAAUUUAGUGUAGCAUUCACAUUGUUAUAUCGUGUACGUUCUUUAACAAACUAAAAUAAAAAUGUCAUGUAAGUUUAAGGCAUCGACAAUUUAAUUACGUACUUUGUAACUCCACGAUACUGAGAAGUUCUUUGCCCCAAACUAUCAACCGACUUCCUCGUUUCCACCGGUUCCUUGGCCUGCGAUUUACCGACCAAACUCUUUCUCUUCUCGUCUACCUUAACCGGUUCUUCCACCGGUACAGAUACAUUUAAUUCGUUGAUCAGAUCAGAAGCAGCGCCAUGGCUCAGAGUCAACAAUAACGUCGAGCCACUGGUGUUAUAAUCAGUCUCUUCGUGACUAAAGUUACUUGUAUUGCUCGUACUGCCCUCUCCACUAACAUAAGUAUUCGAGACUGGAAAUGUUGGAGUACCUUGCCCUAACCAAGAUUUGAAAACCGAGACCGAACCUCCAUAAUCAUGGCUUAGGUUGGUAUCUAGGUUCGAGUAUUGUGGUGUAGAUACGGCUUGUUCGUAGAGAAGAUAACCAGGUGGGCUUAAUCUGUUAAGCAUUGUAGUGCAGUUCACAUUGGUUUGGUUAUUGCCGCUUAUAGGAGGACACUCAAUUUGAUGAGAGUUGGAGAAGAAAUUUUCCAGCUUUGGCACUUCUUCGUCAUGAUGAUGAUGAUCAUCAUGAUUAAGGUUAAUAUCAUAUUGCCAGACUAUAUAAAGAAAACAAAUUAAGAAUAUAUAUUAAUCGUUGCAUAACCAACAACAUACACUAUAUGUGAGCAUAUAUACUUAUAGUAUAUAUGUGAGCAUAUAUACUUAUAGUAUAUAUGUGAGCAUACGUAUGCAUAGUAUAUAUGUGAGCAUAUCUAUUUAUAGUAUAUAUUUGAGCAUAUAUAUAUAUAUAUAUAUAUAUAUGUUGGGAAUCCUACAUCUGAACAAGCUAAAGAGAAGCAUAGUUAAUACAUUCUAAACAUGACGAGCCAACUUUUCAUUGUUAAUUAAAUGCAUAUGAGUUACAAAUGCAUGAAACUUAACCGUAUAUAUAUACACGUACCAGGAUGAGGAUGAUGUGUGAGAGGAUCAGUGAAGAAGGGAGAACCAUCCGAAUUGAGAGGCAUGAGAGCCUUUUGUUGAUUAGUCACAACAUAGUUUUCUUCGUCUUCUUCUUG
rnacentral:lncRNA from 1 species